rnacentral:tRNA from 1 species
GCCGCCGUAGCUCAGUUGGUAGAGCAACGCAUUCGUAAUGCGUGGGUCGGGAGUUCAAAUCUUCUCGGCGGCU